GCGAUCGUGCCACCGCAGCGAGACCCUGUCUCCAAAAAAAGAGACAGAAAAAGGGGAGGGUUAAGGAAUCAUUUCAGACUCGAAGAGAAUAUGGCCUCUCAAAUUAAAAUGGGCAGUUUCCGCCGAACUUUCAAAGCCGCUUGGUUUGGAGAGGGAGCAGGACGGCCGUGCUUCCCAAGGGUCUCCCGGCGUCGCGGCCCAGCCCGGCGUUACCUGCAGUUCGGCCCGCAGCCGCUUGUUCUCCGUGUCCAGCUUGGCCUCGCGGCGGCCCAUGGACAACAACUCCUGGUUCUUGCUGACGCGAAAGAUCUCGUACUCCUUCCUGAGCCGCUCGUACUCGGCCGCCGCGUACUCCAGCUCUGGCACCGACGAGCCAGUGGACUUGAAGCUGGCCCCCAGCAGCCCGCCCGCGCCCACCCCGCGGGGCAGCGACCCGGGCCCGGCCCCUGCUGCCGCCCCCGCGCCUCGGCGGAACGAGUUGCGCAGCAGGCGGGCCUUGGGCUUCACCUCCACCGGGAUCUCGCAGGCCUCGCCGCCGCCCGCCCCGUACGUGUCCUCGAUCACUUCCCCGCCCGCGGGGCUCACGAGCGACGAGGCGGUCCCCAUGGCGUCCGUUGCCGCUACUACCUAGAAUUGGUGAAGAAGAGGAGUUUAGUGCCAAGGUGGGUGCAAGAGUGAAACAAAGGCAACACAUCCACAUGCACUGGACAGGGAAAUGGGGUUACUUAAAGGUUGUUUCAAAAUAUGGACUUAGGAAGGAGAAAGAAACAAGAUUAAAAAGGAACAAGUAACUAGGAGAGAAAAAUAUGAAGAAGGUUAUGGAUAUGAAGAUGCAUUUUUGGCUGAAAAACAAAAGUACUCACUUUCCUAGCCUCUCCUGUAGCCAAAGGAGGUCAUCUGACACAAUUUUGGACAAGGAGACAAAGUUCAACUGGACAGCACUGCUCUAGGCUGUUGCAGAUUAAUGAGACUAAGGAGGCUUGAUAACUAAAGGCAAUGUGUCAUCCUGGAUUGAGUCCUGGACCACAAAAAAAGGACAUCAGUAGGACAUUUGGUGAAAUUUAAAUAAGAGACAGAGUCUCACUGUGCUGCCCAGGAUGAUGUUGAACUUCUGGCCUCAAGCAGUCCUCCUGCCUCAGCCUUCCAAAGAGCUGGGAUUACAGGCAUAAACCACUGUGCCUGCCCUGGCUGGGCAAUGGAUUUUAGAGGCCAAUAAUGAUUCAACUUUUGAGAUAAGAUAAGGAAACCAAAACUCAACGUGGCUAGCUUGUCCAGAAUCUCCCAAAAAGUUAGUAGAUGAUGAAGCCAGACUGGCACCAAAGCUUGCACUUUUAAUGAGGCAAUGAUGAAUCAAUCCCCUGAGGUAGAGACAAGGGUGACCAAAGACCCUCAAGUUUGCUGCCACUGCUCUGCACCCAGGAGAAUUUCCAGUACAACUUGGGGAACCAGGAACAGGCUGGACAGAUGUGUGCAUUCUCCAAAGCUCUCCAUAUGUUUUCUGUUGCCUGCUCAGGAUGAAAACUAGCCCUGCAGGCCACUUGUUCCAGAUCUCUCACAGAUUAUUGGGCACUGAAGUUAUAGUUGAUCUCUUUUUGAAAGUACUCUCCACUCUUCAACUCUUUGUAGGUUAAGAGGAAGCCAAGGAGGCACAAAAACAAAUAUUUCCUUUGGACUCUAGGGCUUUAUCAAUGUGAGGAACAGAGUUUAUUUCAAAAAACUUCUGCGCUCUUGUGAAAAGUAAAGAGAAGAAACAUUUUGACUGUUUUGUUAAUCUGUGACCUUGAGAACUGCCUUCAUUUUAUAACUGGAGAAGCAAAAUCCUAUUUUGUUGAGUGAAUGAACAGAAAUUAUCUUCCCACUAUCCUAGAUGCAAUCAUAUAAUUUUCAGGUUGUUUGAAAAAGUCACCCUAAGAGUCAUAUAAAGAUGAAACGAGAGAUGAAAUACCCGGAAAUGUUUUGUUCCAGUUACUGUGGCUGCAUAACAAAUCACCCUAAAAUUUAAUGGAAUAAAACAUUUAUUAUACUCUGUAAUUCUGUGGGUAAUGAAUUUGGAAUGGGCGCAGCAUGAAUGGCUUGUCCUGCUCCACAAUGCCUGGUCAUCAGAUGGAAGACAGGAGGGCUAUGCGCUAGAAUCAUCUGAAGGUUCACUCACUCACUCGACCAGCAGCUGCUUCUAGGUGCCAAAUGGAGCCACAGUUCCUCUCCACGUGGGCUUCUCAUGUGGUCUCUCUGCAUGGACUAGUUUGGACUAGUUUGUCACCAUGCUGCGAGUUAGUCCAAAGAUGUUCCAGCACUCUUUCCUUCAGAGCACGUAGUAGGAUUUUAUUUUCUACACCUUCCAUGGAUUAGGUUAUUCCAGUCCCUGAAGUUCUGUCUGUGAGAAAAAGAAGACAGGAGAGUCCAGACACACCAACAGGUUUUCCAGGGUUGGAAUUAUGCCCCUGGCCAGUGGUGACUGAUAGUUCUCCCUGAGACCAACCUCUGCCCAGACUGUGAAAGGACAACUUGCAUAUCUUCUGUUGCUGAGUUCCUUCUGGAGAGAAACUACGGUUACCUUCUGUUGAGCUGCCUCGCCAUAGAUCUCCUGCCUCGAUUGCCAGGUUUGUCUGUUCGCAUACCUCUGGAAACUGUAUUUCUCCUGUUUGCCUGAAGAGCCCGGCCCCCGAUCUGUAUCUUGUCCAGGACUGUAAGUGCUCACUGCUCCUGGAAGGUGUGAUUUGUUCCCAGCACCCAAACCCUGGUCUGGUUUGGUCUAUCACAGACUUCCUGAGCUCUGGAAGGAAGGCUUUCCUCCUGAUAUACUCAGAAGCCAUUUCUGUCUUAUUAUCAUCAUCUGACAGAGUUUGGUCUGAAGCUAAUGAACAAUGACAACAAUUGCUUCUUCUGCAGGCUAGGAAGCCUCACCUGCAAUUGUGAAAUGUCAAGCAGAAGUUGAGGUAAAAGAGGAACAAGAAAAUUUUCUUCUGCCCAUUGUACACUUCUAAGAUUAAAGAAAGAGUCUAAAGCUUUUUGAAACCUCUGUACAAGGACAUUUCAACCUCAUUGUUUACAAAAUCAAAGAAAGUAAACUAAUUUUCAUUCCUCAGAAAAAAAAAAAAAAAA
rnacentral:lncRNA from 1 species